UCUUGAAGAAUGUAGAAGAAAGUCCAAUAAAGCGUGCAUCAGAAGAAUCCUGAGUGUUGCGUGCUCCUUGCUGGCGAGGUGCGCGCGACAAAAAUCUUCCAUUUCCAUGUCUGUCAAAGAAAAUCAAGACAUAAACACCAAGAGGCUUCCACGACUCUGGGCUCAGAAGCUCAGCGAGGCUCCAGGAGCUUGUCGGACAGCGAGAGUCACCCAGGAAGGAACACACCAGGCAAGUUGGCAAAUAGACCUUUAUUAGUCUGGCCAGAUGGCACUCCCCAAGCCAAGUAGCUCAGAGAGGCUGCUAGCUCAGAGACAGAGGCCAUUUUAUAUAGGGCUGGGGGGGGGGGGGCUACACUUAAAACUUACAGGAAGAGGACAAAGGCAAAGAAUCAGUUGAUCUGAGCUAGUGGUCAUCAAGCACAUACUUGACCCUCACGUACUAAUGAUCAGCAGAUCGAUUAUCCAUUAUUCCAUUUACAACUUAGAUUAUAAUGUUCAGAACAUUCAACUACAGGCAAGUAAGGAGUGACGUGAUUCGUGUUGGGUCUCUGUGUUCACUACAGUUUCCAUUUAGUUUCCCAGCUACUUCAAAGCAGUUACCUAACAAUUCACAAUUAAUCAUUAGUUAUCCUAUAA
rnacentral:lncRNA from 1 species